rnacentral:rRNA from 1 species
GUGGGGAAUCUUAGACAAUGGGGGAAACCCUGAUCUAGCCAUGCCGCGUGAGCGAUGAAGGCCUUAGGGUUGUAAAGCUCUUUCAGCUGGGAAGAUAAUGACUGUACCAGCAGAAGAAGCCCCGGCUAACUCCGUGCCAGCAGCCGCGGUAAUACGGAGGGGGCUAGCGUUGUUCGGAAUUACUGGGCGUAAAGCGCACGUAGGCGGACCGGAAAGUCAGAGGUGAAAUCCCAGGGCUCAACCUUGGAACUGCCUUUGAAACUCCUGGUCUUGAGGUCGAGAGAGGUGAGUGGAAUUCCGAGUGUAGAGGUGAAAUUCGUAGAUAUUCGGAGGAACACCAGUGGCGAAGGCGGCUCACUGGCUCGAUACUGACGCUGAGGUGCGAAAGCGUGGGGAGCAAACAGGAUUAGAAACCCCUGUAGUCC